CAAUGGAUCUCUUGGUUCUCGCAUCGAUGAAGAACGCAGA
rnacentral:rRNA from 1 species